rnacentral:tRNA from 4 species
GCCCUCUUAGCUCAGUCGGUAGAGCACCUCCAUGGUAAGGAGGGGGUCGACGGUUCGAGUCCGUCAGAGGGCU